GUGAACGCUGGCGGUAGGCCUAACACAUGCAAGUCGAACGGCAGCACAGUAAGAGCCUGCUCUUACGGGUGGCGAGUGGCGGACGGGUGAGGAAUACAUCGGAAUCUACUUUUUCGUGGGGGAUAACGUAGGGAAACUUACGCUAAUACCGCAUACGACCUACGGGUGAAAGCAGGGGAUCUUCGGACCUUGCGCGAUUGAAUGAGCCGAUGUCGGAUUAGCUAGUUGGCGGGGUAAAGGCCCACCAAGGCGACGAUCCGUAGCUGGUCUGAGAGGAUGAUCAGCCACACUGGAACUGAGACACGGUCCAGACUCCUACGGGAGGCAGCAGUGGGGAAUAUUGGACAAUGGGCGCAAGCCUGAUCCAGCCAUACCGCGUGGGUGAAGAAGGCCUUCGGGUUGUAAAGCCCUUUUGUUGGGAAAGAAAAGCAGCAGGUUAAUACCCCGCUGUUCUGACGGUACCCAAAGAAUAAGCACCGGCUAACUUCGUG
rnacentral:rRNA from 1 species